ACAUUAUAGUUCUACAUCAAACUUUGUGACUUCCUAUUUAUACUGAGUAAUAAAUAAACCUGAGCCUUAAAGCAAUAAAAAUAAUUUGCUCUUCUUUUGGCUCA